GACGAACGCUGGCGGCGUGCUUAACACAUGCAAGUCGAACGAUGAAGAAAAGAAUCGAAGCUUCGGCAGAAAUUCAUUUCGGAUUAGUGGCAGACGGGUGAGUAACGCGUGAGCAACCUACCUCUUACAAAGGGAUAGCCUCGGGAAACCGGGAUUAAUACCAUAUAACAUUGCGACGAAGCAUUUCGAUGCAAUCAAAGCUACGGCGGUAAGAGAUGGGCUCGCGUCCCAUUAAUCGGAUGGUGAGGUAACGGCUCACCAUAGUGACGAUGGGUAACCGGGAUGAGAGAGAGGGCCGUCACACUGGAGCUGAGACGCGGUCCGGACUCCUACGGGAGGCAGGAGAGGGGAAUAUUGCACAGUGGAGGGAGCGCUGAUGCAGCGACGACGCGUGAGUGAUGAAAGAAUUCGUGACGUAAAGCUCUGUUAUAUGGGAAGAAAAGGACUGUACCAUAGGAGAAAGCUCCGGCUAAAUACGUG
rnacentral:rRNA from 1 species